rnacentral:rRNA from 1 species
ACUCAAAUGAAUUGACGGGGGCCCGCACAAGCGGUGGAGCAUGUGGUUUAAUUCGAUGCAACGCGAAGAACCUUACCUACCCUUGACAUGUCAGGAACAUUGCAGAGAUGUGAUGGUGCCGAAAGGAACCUGAGCACAGGUGCUGCAUGGCUGUCGUCAGCUCGUGUCGUGAGAUGUUGGGUUAAGUCCCGUAACGAGCGCAACCCUUGUUUCUAGUUACCAUCAAGUAAAGUUGGGGACUCUAGAGAGACUGCCAGUGUUAAGCUGGAGGAAGGUGGGGAUGAUGUCAAGUCAUCAUGGCCUUUAUGGGUAGGGCUACACACGUGCUACAAUGGGCAGUACAAAGGGAAGCGAAGCCGCGAGGUGGAGCGGACCUCAAAAAGCUGUCCGUAGUUCGGAUUGGAGUCUGCAACUCGACUCCAUGAAGCUGGAAUCGCUAGUAAUCGCAAAUCAGAACGUUGCGGUGAAUACGUUCCCGGGCCUUGUACACACCGCCCGU